GUGCCAGCCGCCGCGGUAAUACGGAGGGGGCUAGCGUUGUUCGGAAUCACUGGGCGUAAAGGGCGCGUAGGCGGACCACCAAGUCAGGGGUGAAAGCCCUGGGCUCAACCUAGGAAGUGCCCUUGAAACUGAUGGUCUUGAGUCCGGGAGAGGAGAGCGGAAUUCCCAGUGUAGAGGUGAAAUUCGUAGAUAUUGGGAAGAACACCGGUGGCGAAGGCGGCUCUCUGGACCGGCACUGACGCUGAGGCGCGAAAGCGUGGGGAGCAAACAGGAUUAGAAACCCGUGAGUCC
rnacentral:rRNA from 1 species